UUCAUGGUUCUGUUUGCACAUUGCAUGCAACAAUUUUUGAUCUGUGUUUUGUUUGGUAAGACUAAUGGAAGUUGUCUCUGCUCUCUCCUUAAGCCUUAAUCCUGAUACUGUUAGCGAUAUCUCUGAUCUGCAAUAUGGUCCUGCCACUGGUUGUUUACUGGUACAUGCGGCACCAGUCGCGGCGGAAAUGGAAUCAGUGGGUGAGGAACUCAACUCAUGGGUCCGAUAAAAACUUGCCAGGAGACGAGGAGUUUCAGUCUCUCUGUGUCAGACAGCCCCCACGGUGUGACUUCAUCCUCAAACAUUCAGCUGUUGUAAAUGGGAAUUCCGCUGACGAUGAAGAGGGACCGCAGCUUUAAGGGCCCUGCUCACAACAUCGCCUCUGUACAUUUUUAAUGUUCAUUCAUAAAGCUAUGAAAUGUAACAAUGCAGAUGGAUGCCAGGAGCAUUAGCUCUAUCAGCCCUAUCAGACAGUUUGUUUUUGGUGCUCUUUAGUUUGAUAGACAGGUCAUUAGAACAGUGUCACAACUACAGCAAAGUUGGCGGCGCACUCACAGGUGUGUAUGGUUUGUUGGCAGCAACACCAGCCGGGGAACCUAAUACUACUGGAGUUAUUCGUUUGUGUUUGAUGCUUGAAAGAAAAAAAAAAUACACAGGCAACACUGUCAUUUCAAACCGGGACAGCUCAAACCUGACUGGGUUUAGUUUCGCAGCAGACAAAGUUCUCUGGGCAUCAGAUCCCAAAAAAAAAAGCACUGGAAUAUUUUUGUAGCUCAGUAUUUUUUGUUCAUUGCAUGCAUUGAGUUUCAUUGUCAUGUAGGUGAAGUUGAAAUGCUAAUCAUGUUCCAGAGAUAUAAUAUUUCAAAUGGAUCUUUGGUUGAGCUGCCCAGAGAUUUGUAAAGUUUUUUCCACAGUUUUGGAAUACUUAUAAGCCUAGUGAGUUCGCUAGUUUCACUUGCUAAGCUAUCUCUAGUACUAAAAUGUGAUAACCAAACAAAUCCAAACAAAGGCAUUUUGACAAAAUGUUUCAAAAGCUGUGAAAACACACUUUAGUUAAUGUGAUAAUAAAUUCAAAACAUAGUUAUUUGAUAGGUUCCCCCAUGAGACAAACUUCAUAAAUAUGAUACAGUCUUUGUUUAAUAUUGUAUUUAGAGGAUCCACUAAUAUAAAUAUGUAUAUUGUUUGGAGAGGUUACCAUUUUUGUCGGCCUGACAAGUGGCAUUUUAUAAUCAUCACCGCAUAUCAUUUGGUUUUACAUCUGCCUCUCAUUAUAUUUGUAAUAAUGUUGUACUUGGUUCUACAGAAGCCCUGAAAGGCAAGAUGGAACAAAAAGUUUUUUGGGGUUUUAAUUUAAGUCCUACGUACGACUUCACCUUAGGUUUUGUGGGUUUGUUGGGUUAAACAGUGUAUAUAGGCUAUAUAGCAUAUGGCUCAUUAAUAUUACCUGUAUAUAGUCCGAUGAUGUCAUUAACGUGAAUAUUAAGUAGCCAUUUGUUGUUUCUGUUGCAGAAAAAAGAUCCUGGUUUUUUAGCAAGCUGCUGAGUUUACAAGAUAAACAAUUAGACUACAUAAGAGACAACUUUAGUUUCAGCAUACUUGUAGCCAUUCACAAUAUUUGCUGUUCAAUGCAGUGGAUGAGAGCAGACUGAAAUAUGCUACUAGUUUAGCUAGUUUGCUACAUGUUUAUGCCUGUUGAACAGGUGUAGCCUAUUGGCUCAUUUCUCUUCUGGCUUUUUUUCGGCUGCCUAGGUGCCUUGCGGCAAGAGUGCAAAUGCAGGAGACACGGAAACUGACUUAUCAGAACCGAAUGGGCCUCUUUUGGGAGAGGGAUUUAAAGAGAUGCACUAAGACAGAGCGUUUCAAACACAGGGUGAAUACAGGUAUAUGUUUUUUUUUUAACAGUAAAACAUGUAAAUAUGUUCUACAACCCAAAAUCAG